rnacentral:rRNA from 1 species
UACAGAGGGUGCAAGCGUUAAUCGGAAUUACUGGGCGUAAAGCGUACGUAGGCGGUUAUCUAAGUCGGGUGUGAAAGCCCCGGGCUCAACCUGGGAAUUGCAUUCGAUACUGGGUAGCUAGAGUUCGGCAGAGGGAAGCGGAAUUUCCGGUGUAGCGGUGAAAUGCGUAGAUAUCGGAAGGAACAUCAGUGGCGAAAGCGGCUUCCUGGACCAGAACUGACGCUCAGGUACGAAAGCGUGGGGAGCAAACAGG